rnacentral:rRNA from 1 species
AUUGAACGCUGGCGGCAUGCUUUACACAUGCAAGUCGAACGGUAACAGGCCGCAAGGUGCUGACGAGUGGCGAACGGGUGAGUAAUGCAUCGGAACGUGCCCAGUCGUGGGGGAUAACGCAGCGAAAGCUGCGCUAAGAACGCAUACGAUCUAUGGAUGAAAGCGGGGGACCGUAAGGCCUCGCGCGCUUGGAGCGGCCGAUGUAAGAUUCGGUAGUUGGUGGGGUAAAGGCUCACCAAGCCAAGGAUCUGUAGAUGGUCUGAGAGGACGACCAGCCACACUGGGACUGAGACACGGCCCAGACUCCUACGGGAGGCAGCAGUGGGGAAUUUUGGACAAUGGGCGCAAGCCUGAUCCAGCAAUGCCGCGUGCAGGAAGAAGGCCUUCGGGUUGUAAACUGCUUUUGUACGGAACGAAACGGUCUGGGUUAAUACCUCGGGCUAAUGACGGUACCGUAAGAAUAAGCACCGGCUAACUACGUGCCAGCCGCCGCGGUAAUAC